rfam:Chryseobacterium sp. IHB B 10212 strain IHBB 10212, complete genome.
CCCUAGCCCCGAUUGGCGCGACAUCCUUUUUGGUUGCGGCCGGAGCAAAGCGGAGGCCGUAACCAAAAAGAUACAGCAGAAAGCGGGAAAUUGC